rnacentral:lncRNA from 1 species
ACUGGAGUCAGAUUUACGGCAAGUAUCCUAAACCCUUCUCUUGGAUAUAUUGCAAAUAUUCUGAUCCAUUCCUUUGGUAUAUGUUUCAAGUAUUCAUACCUUUCUUUUCAAUGUUCGAAAGUGCGAGUAUUCUGACCCAUUCUUUCUAAUCUUCAAGUUUCUAAAGAAUUUCCGUUUUACAAAUUAAUUCGAAGUUCAGAUUGUCAUUGAAGCAUGUGUUGCUCAGUGAUAGUUAGAGCUUUGAAUGAAUUGGGAUCUUCUUGAUUAUUCAACCCGCCA